rnacentral:tRNA from 1 species
CUUUUGUAGUUUACACAAAAAUACUAUAUUUUCAGUAUAGAGAUGUUUUUCCAAAAGA